AGUGAACGCUGGCGGUAGGCCUAACACAUGCAAGUCGAACGGCAGCACAGUAAGAGCUUGCUCUUACGGGUGGCGAGUGGCGGACGGGUGAGGAAUACAUCGGAAUCUACUUUUUCGUGGGGGAUAACGUAGGGAAACUUACGCUAAUACCGCAUACGACCUACGGGUGAAAGCAGGGGAUCUUCGGACCUUGCGCGAUUGAAUGAGCCGAUGUCGGAUUAGCUAGUUGGCGGGGUAAAGGCCCACCAAGGCGACGAUCCGUAGCUGGUCUGAGAGGAUGAUCAGCCACACUGGAACUGAGACACUGUCCUGACUCCUACGGGAGGCAGCAGUGGGGAAUAUUGGACAAUGGGCGCAAGCCUGAUCCAGCCAUACCGCGUGGGUGAAGAAGGCCUUCGGGUUGUAAAGCCCUUUUGUUGGGAAAGAAAAGCAGCAGGUUAAUACCCCGCUGUUCUGACGGUACCCAAAGAAUAAGCACCGGCUAACUUCGUG
rnacentral:rRNA from 1 species